CAGGAUCAUCAUGAGAAAGAGUCUGAUCCAACACUUGCAAGAGCGAGGGGUGCAGGUGAGAAUGUGAACACCACUCUGGCACAGGCCUGGCAUCGGGGUCCCAAUCUCUGCUGCUGAUGGUGGAAUCACUUGGGCAAGCCAUAUUAUCUUCAGAGUCUGUUUCUUUAUCCACAAAAUGGGGAGAAUGGUAUACAUAACCCUCCUGGGUAUGUAACUGGUACUAGGAGAUGCACUGUGAAGAUGAUGCAUGGGAAGAUGACCAUACUGUCCUGAUCCCUGAGGAUCAGCUUUAACCAGGUCACUUAAUUAGCAAACCUUGUUGAGCAUGUUCCAGACUGGGGAUGAGAGCUUCCCAUCAAGGGCAGGGGAAGGAAACAAGCAGGCCAGACCUGCUUUACAUCACCUGUUGAAAAACGGAAGCAGAGGGCUGUGAGAUCUGGAAGAAGAGAGGUGUGAGCAGCCUAGGAAGUAUGGGAGGAAGCUGGCUCUCAGGGAGCAGGAAGGCCUGCAGGUGUGAAGGGUGGAGAGGCAGAAGACCAGGCUGGCAGAGACACUGGGAAAGCUCCCAGGCCACAGCCUGGAGGAGGUGACCGAGAGUGGCCCAGGCUCAGGCAGGCCUGCUAGGCUCAGAAAGGGGUGUGGACUCCAGUCACAGGGAAGGGAAGCUUUGGGGGUCUUCAAAGUAGAGAGGGCUGAUCCAGUUGAGGUUUUCUGAGUUUUGCCUCCAUAUGAAGAAGAUGUUGUGGGGGGUGGAGUGGAAGCAAAGUAUCCUAGGAAUCUGAUGCUACCCUGGACAGGUCUCAGGCUUAGGUGGCAGUAAUGGAGACAGGUGGAAGAGGACUUGGCUAGUGACUGGAUGUGGGGUGAGUGAGGCCCUGGGAUAACAAGGCUCUUUCUGAUCAGCCCUCUUAUAUCUCUGAUCUUCACUACCACUUUGGAAGUUUGGACCAUCAUCCUCAUUUGUCAAACUAAGAAAUCAACAGCCAGGCACAGUGGUGCACGCUUGUAAUCCCAGCAGCUAAAGAGGCUGAGGCAGGAAGAUCACGAGUUCAAAGCCAGCCUCAGCAACAGCAAGGUGCUAAGCAACUCAGUGAGACCCUGUCUCUAAAUAAAAUACAAAAAAUAGGGCCAGGGAUGUGGCUCAGUGAUCAAGUCCCCCUGAGUUCAAUCCCCAGUACAAAAAAAAAAAAAAAUCAACAGCUGGGCAUGGUGGCAUGCACCUGUAAUCUAAGUUACUUGGGAGUUUGAGGCAGAAGGAUUGACAGUUGGUCAACCUGGACAAUUUAGGAGACCCUGCUCAAAAUAAAAAAUUUAAAGAGCCAGUGAUGUAGGUCAGUGGCAGAAUGCCUCUGGGUUCAAUCCCCAGUACCUAAAGAGAAGGAG
rnacentral:lncRNA from 1 species